GAUGACCCAUAAAGUGGAAUCAAAAUAUCACAGCUCCUUCUAAUUUACUGUCUAGACCCACUGAAGAAAAGUCUUGACAAUAAAUAUGUCAAAUCAACAAUUCAAAGCCCUGUUUAGAUUUACUUAAAGAACAGUGAUGAAAAUGAUGACCCUUUGUUUCAUGCAGCUUGUGUUUUGCUGUUUGUGACAUGGUAUACAUGCAGGCUGACUAAACUACGUUUUCUAAUUUCAUAAUUCGAUAUAGUCGAUAUUUGUGUUCAAUCUCGAUAUAUUGAUUUUUCCCAUAUAGCAUCAGCCUAAUAAAACCCAAAAUAGUUUCAAUUUAUGUUGCCUUGCUAGUGGGGCAGCACAUUGUCAUGCCUACUCAUAUGAUCUUCAAGUUCAGUGGCAAUUUCAAACUCGGCAUCGCAGACACAACAGAUAUAACCAAUACCAGUUGCUUCUCUUGCUUCUAAUUCCUUACAGACAUCACAUUGGUAGGACGUGCCAUGGUCUCUGGCCUUGUGUUGAUAUAAGCUUUCAAUAUCUGGGAACCGUUUGUUGCAUUUGUUGCAGACAAAAUCAUCAUCACUCUCAUGUAUCUCAUUAGCAUGUCCUUGAUUUUGAAUAAUUUCUUUGCCACAGGUGUGGCACAAUAAUAAGCCAUCUCUUAAGUGUGAUCUCCAGUGACGUUUGAGACUUUGUCGUUUUGUGAAUGUUUUCUGGCAGAUACCACACUCCAAGCUCUCAUUUUUCUUGUGUGCUGAUAUUUUAUGUUGUGUUAACUUGUGUGAUUCUGAAAAUCUUGUGUUGCAAACGUCACAUUGGUAAGGUUUGUCUCCAGUGUGUGUUCUUUUAUGUCUAGUUAAGUCGCUUGAGCGCGAAAAUCUUUUCUGGCAAACAUCACAUUCAUAAGGUUUUUCUCCAGUGUGUGUUCUCUUAUGAACCGCUAAGUGACUUGAUUGUGAAAAUCUUUUGUUGCAAACAUCACAUUCAUAAGGUUUCUCGCCAGUGUGUGUUCUCUUAUGAACCGUUAAAUGACUUGAGUGUGAAAAUCGUUUGUUGCAAACAUCGCAUUCAUAAGGUUUGUCUCCAAUGUGUGUUCUCUUAUGACAUGCUAAGUUACUUGAGUGUGAAAAUAGUUUGUUGCAAACAACGCAUUCAUAAGGUUUCUCUCCAGUGUGUGUUCUCUUAUGAACCGCUAAGUGGCCCGCCUGUGAAACUCUUUUGUUGCAAACAUCACAUUCAUAAGGUUUGUCUCCAGUGUGUGUUUUCUUAUGAACCGCUAACUGACUUGAGUGUGAAAAUCCUUUGUUGCAAACAUCGCAUUCAUAAGGUUUGUCUCCAAUGUGUGUUCUCUUAUGUUUAGUUAGGGUGCUUGGGUCAGGAAAUCUUUUGUUGCAAACAUCACAUUUAUAAGGUUUCUUUCCAGUGUGCGUUCUUUCAUGUAAAGCCAAGGUGUCUGAUCGGGAAAAUCUUUUUUUACAAACAUCACAUUCAAAAGGUUUGUCUCCAGUGUGUGUUUUCUUAUGAAUGGUUAAAUUGCUUGACUUAGAAAAUCUUUUAUUGCAAACGUCACAUUCAUAAGGUUUGUCUUCACUGUGUGUUCUUUUAUGUCUCACCAAAUUUCCCUUCUUUGAAAAUACCCCGUUUGUAACCUCACAUUUCCUAGACAUGGUUUCAGCUUUUGAUCUUUUCUUCGUACGGUCAAAUAUUGAUAAAAAUAUCACCCAACCGUUCUCCUGAGUCUUUCUUUAUUGAAUCUUUAUAAUACUUCGGUUCUUGCACAAUUUCUGAUCAUAAAAAUGAGAGUAUUCAGAGACACAGUUUGCAAACAACAUGAGUAUCAAA
rnacentral:lncRNA from 1 species